UCAGGUUGAUAUUCCUGUACCACCUCCUCACCAUUUGAGCAAUGGGGGACGCAGGAGGAUAGGGUAAGCGCGGUAUUGGAUAUCCGCGUCCAAGCAGUUAGGCUGGGAAAUAGGCAAAUCCGUUUCCCAUAAGGCUGAGCUGUGAUGGCGAGCGAAACAUAGUAGCGAAGUUCCUGAUUCCACACUGCCAAGAAAAAGCCUCAGCGAGGUGAGAGGUGCCCGUACCGCAAACCGUCACAGGUAGGCGAGGAGAGAAUCCUAAGGUGAUCGAGAGAACUCUCGUUAAGGAACUCGGCAAAUGACCCCGUAACUUCGGGAGAAGGGUGCUCUGUUAGGGUGCAAGCCCGAGAGAGCCGCAGGAAUAGGCCCAGGCGACUGUUUAGCAAAAACACAGGUCUCUGCGAAGCCGUAAGGCGAAGUAGGGGCUGACGCCUGCCCGGUGCUGGAAGGUUAAGAGGAGCGCUUAGCGUAAGCGAAGGUGCGAAUUGAAGCCCCAGUAAACGGCGGCCGUAACAAUAACGGUCCUAAGGUAGCGAAAUUCCUUGUCGGGUAAGUUCCGACCCGCACGAAAGCGCAACGAUCUGGGCACUGUCUCAACGAGACUCGGUGAAAUUAUAGUACCUGUGAAGAUGCAGGUUACCCGCGACAGGACGGAAAGACCCGUGGAGCUUUACUGCAGCCUGAUAUUGAAUGUUGGUACAGCUUGUACAGGAUAGGUAGGAGCCUUGGAAACCGGAGCGCCAGCUUCGGUGGAGGCAUCGGUGGGAUACUACCCUGGCUGUAUUGACCUUCUAACCCGCCGCCCUUAUCGGGCGGGAGACAGUGUCAGGUGGGCAGUUUGACUGGGGCGGUCGCCUCCUGAAAAGGUAACGGAGGCGCCCAAAGGUUCCCUCAGAAUGGUUGGAAAUCAUUCGCAGAGUGUAAAGAGCACAAGGGAGCUUGACUGCGAGACCUACAAGUCGAGCAGGGACGAAAGUCGGGCUUAGUGAUCCGGUGGUUCCGCAUGGAAGGGCCAUCGCUCAACGGAUAAAAGCUACCCGGGGAUAACAGGCUUAUCUCCCCCAGAGUCCACAUCGACGGGGAGGUUUGGCACCUCGAUGUCGGCUCAUCGCAUCCUGGGGCUGUAGUCGGUCCCAAGGGUUGGGCUGUUCGCCCAUUAAAGCGGUACGCGAGCUGGAGUUCAGAACGUCGUGAGACAGUUCGGUCCCUAUCCGUCGCGGGCGCAGGAAAUUUGAGAGGAGCUGUCCUUGUACGAGAGGACCGGGAUGGACGCACCGCUGGUGUACCAGUUGUUCUGCCAAGGGCAUCGCUGGGUAGCUAUGUGCGGACGGGAUAAGUGCUGAAAGCAUCUAAGCAUGAAGCCCCCUCAAGAUGAGAUCUCCCAUUCCGCAAGGAAGUAAGAUCCCUGAAAGAUGAUCAGGUUGAUAGGUCUGAGGUGGAAGUGUGGCAACACAUGGAGCUGACAGAUACUAAUCGAUCGAGGACUU
rnacentral:rRNA from 1 species